UCAAAAACAGUUUUGGAAAACAUUAACUUUGGGAGUUAUUAGGUAGAGAAUUCUAUUUUUGAA
rnacentral:tRNA from 2 species